rnacentral:rRNA from 2 species
GGGUGAGUAAUGCUUAGGAAUCUGCCUAUUAGUGGGGGACAACAUUCCGAAAGGAAUGCUAAUACCGCAUACGCCCUACGGGAGAAAGCAGGGGAUCUUCGGACCUUGCGCUAAUAGAUGAGCCUAAGUCAGAUUAGCUAGUUGGUGGGGUAAAGGCCUACCAAGGCGACGAUCUGUAGCGGGUCUGAGAGGAUGAUCCGCCACACUGGGACUGAGACACGGCCCAGACUCCUACGGGAGGCAGCAGUGGGGAAUAUUGGACAAUGGGCGAAAGCCUGAUCCAGCCAUGCCGCGUGUGUGAAGAAGGCCUUUUGGUUGUAAAGCACUUUAAGCGAGGAGGAGGCUACUUAGAUUAAUACUCUAGGAUAGUGGACGUUACUCGCAGAAUAAGCACCGGCUAACUCUGUGCCAGCAGCCGCGGUAAUACAGAGGGUGCGAGCGUUAAUCGGAUUUACUGAACGUAAAGCGUGCGUAGGCGGCUUGUUAAGUCGGAUGUGAAAUCCCUGAGCUUAACUUAGGAAUUGCAUUCGAUACUGGCAAGCUAGAGUAUGGGAGAGGAUGGCAGAAUUCCAGGUGUAGCGGUGAAAUGCGUAGAGAUCUGGAGAAAUACCGAUGGCGAAGGCAGCCAUCUGGCCUAAUACUGACGCUGAGGUACGAAAGCAUGGGGAGCAAA